rfam:Triticum aestivum genome assembly, contig: Triticum_aestivum_CS42_TGACv1_scaffold_408432_5BL
UUUGUACUCCCUCCGUCCCAAAAUUCUUGUCUUAAAUUUGUCUAAAUACGGAUGUAUCUAGUUACAUUUUAGUGUUAAAUACAUCCGUAUCUAAACAAAUGUAAGACAAGAAUUUUGGGACAGAGUGAAUACUAC